rnacentral:rRNA from 1 species
AAUAUUCCGCAAUGCGCGAAAGCGUGACGGAGCAAUGCCGCGUGCAGGAUGAAGCAGCUUUGCUGUGUAAACUGCUGUCAGGGUCCAGAAACCCUGAUCGGACCCAGAGGAAGGGCCGGCUAAUCCUGUGCCAGCAGCCGCGGUAAUACAGGAGGCCCGAGCGUUAAUCGGAAUCACUGGGCUUAAAGGGUGCGUAGGCGGAUUUGAGGGUGUGCUGUGAAAUCCCUUGGCUCAACCAAGGAAUAGCGGCGCAAACCGCAAGUCUUGAGGCGGGUAGGGGUCGCUGGAACGCUCGGUGGAGCGGUGAAAUGCGUAGAGAUCGAGCGGAACGCCAACGGUGAAGACAGGCGACUGGGCCCGUCCUGACGCUGAGGCACGAAAGCGUGGGGAGCAAACAGG